CUAAAAUUAAUUUGAAAUUCUUCGGUUUAUUUUCUUUUCUUUCACAAGCUUUGCUAGGAAUAACUUGCACACGUGUAUGCAUUUAUCUGUUAGAUGCCAAAGUUGCAGGCACUGAAGUGGAGCGGAUUUUAGUACAUUUUAUACUUGCUUAUAUUAUUAACCCCUAAUGAACAUUGAAAGGGUAUUAGGAGUGUUUAGCAUUAGGGCAACCUAUGUUUUAAAGAGACUUGGAGUUUAGAG